AACAGCUCUAUAAAGAACCAUCAAAGAACGAAAAGAUACUUAAUUUCGAAAAAGAGAAGAUGGGUGGAAGCAGGUAUGCACCAAGUCAAAAAUCAGCCCAAAAAAAGGAGCUUUUUAACACAGAAAAAGUGAAAAUUCUAAAAAAAAAAAACUUUGAAAAAGGGGAGAAAAAAGUAACAGAGAAAUAAAUUUAUAAAUUUACCUUUGAAAGAGAAACAAGUGAAGCAACAGAUCUACAGUGACACCGCCUACAAAAUGGGCAAAAAAGCAUUAGAUAUGAUUUUCCAAAUAUGAGCAAAAUGAUUUCACCUCUCUGUUUCUAUAUAUGACCAAGAUUGCUUCUUUCCCUCUAAUACAAAAGAACCAAAGAUACAUACAAGAGUCACCGAGUUUAACAGAAGACCGCGAAAGGGAGGGCGUGUGGGUGGAUGGGGAGUUGAAGGAUGAGAUGACAAUGAAAUGGUGGGUGGAAACAAAAAAGCAAAAAAUACAUACUACUACAGAGAAUAUGAGGGAAGAGGUGGUGGCCUAUUAUACAGAAAGAAAAUAACCCCACAAUGCAACAAAAAGGAGAUUUAUGACUAAAUAACUACACGUAUACCAAAAUACAAAUACAUUAAAUAGGAUAUCCUAUAUCAGAGCAGUUUCCAAAGAUAGAUGUGGAAAGGAAUUAUUAGUAAAUGUUAGGAAAGUGAGGAAAAGGAAAAGAAAUCAAUUUAACUCGCUUAUGUUGUCCUAUAUCAGAGCAG
rnacentral:lncRNA from 1 species